rnacentral:rRNA from 1 species
GACGAACGCGGCGGCGUGCCUAAUACAUGCAAGUCGAACGCUUCUUUCCUCCCGAGUGCUUGCGCUCAAUUGGAAAGAGGAGUGGCGGACGGGUGAGUAACACGUGGGUAACCUACCCAUCAGAGGGGGAUAACACUUGGAAACAGGUGCUAAUACCGCAUAACAGUUUAUGCCGCAUGGCAUAAGAGUGAAAGGCGCUUUCGGGUGUCGCUGAUGGAUGGACCCGCGGUGCAUUAGCUAGUUGGUGAGGUAACGGCUCACCAAGGCCACGAUGCAUAGCCGACCUGAGAGGGUGAUCGGCCACACUGGGACUGAGACACGGCCCAGACUCCUACGGGAGGCAGCAGUAGGGAAUCUUCGGCAAUGGACGAAAGUCUGACCGAGCAACGCCGCGUGAGUGAAGAGGGUUUUCGGAUCGUAAAAACUC